rnacentral:rRNA from 1 species
GACGAACGCUGGCGGCGUGCUUAACGCAUGCAAGUCGAACGGAAAGGCCCUGCUUUUGUGGGGUGCUCGAGUGGCGAACGGGUGAGUAACACGUGAGUAACCUGCCCUUGACUUUGGGAUAACCUCAGGAAACUGGGGCUAAUACCGGAUAGGAGCUCCUGCUGCAUGGUGGGGGUUGGAAAGUUUCGGCGGUUGGGGAUGGACUCGCGGCUUAUCAGCUUGUUGGUGGGGUAGUGGCUUACCAAGGCUUUGACGGGUAGCCGGCCUGAGAGGGUGACCGGCCACAUUGGGACUGAGAUACGGCCCAGACUCCUACGGGAGGCAGCAGUGGGGAAUAUUGCACAAUGGGCGGAAGCCUGAUGCAGCAACGCCGCGUGCGGGAUGACGGCCUUCGGGUUGUAAACCGCUUUCGCCUGUGACGAAGCGUGAGUGACGGUAAUGGGUAAAGAAGCACCGGCUAACUACGUGCCAGCAGCCGCGGUGAUACGUAGGGUGCGAGCGUUGUCCGGAUUUAUUGGGCGUAAAGGGCUCGUAGGUGGUUGAUCGCGUCGGAAGUGUAAUCUUGGGGCUUAACCCUGAGCGUGCUUUCGAUACGGGUUGACUUGAGGAAGGUAGGGGAGAAUGGAAUUCCUGGUGGAGCGGUGGAAUGCGCAGAUAUCAGGAGGAACACCAGUGGCGAAGGCGGUUCUCUGGGCCUUUCCUGACGCUGAGGAGCGAAAGCGUGGGGAGCGAACAGGCUUAGAUACCCUGGUAGUCCACGCUGUAAACGGUGGGUACUAGGUGUGGGGUCCAUUCCACGGGUUCCGUGCCGUAGCUAACGCUUUAAGUACCCCGCCUGGGGAGUACGGCCGCAAGGCUAAAACUCAAAGGAAUUGACGGGGCCCCGCACAAGCGGCGGAGCAUGCGGAUUAAUUCGAUGCAACGCGUAGAACCUUACCUGGGUUUGACAUGGAUCGGGAGUGCUCAGAGAUGGGUGUGCCUCUUUUGGGGUCGGUUCACAGGUGGUGCAUGGCUGUCGUCAGCUCGUGUCGUGAGAUGUUGGGUUAAGUCCCGCAACGAGCGCAACCCUUGUUCACUGUUGCCAGCACGUUAUGGUGGGGACUCAGUGGAGACCGCCGGGGUCAACUCGGAGGAAGGUGGGGAUGACGUCAAGUCAUCAUGCCCCUUAUGUCCAGGGCUUCACGCAUGCUACAAUGGCUGGUACAGAGAGUGGCGAGCCUGUGAGGGUGAGCGAAUCUCGGAAAGUCGGUCUCAGUUCGGAUUGGGGUCUGCAACUCGACCUCAUGAAGUCGGAGUCGCUAGUAAUCGCAGAUCAGCAACGCUGCGGUGAAUACGUUCCCGGGGCU